rnacentral:rRNA from 1 species
GACGAACGCUGGCGGCGUGCUUAACACAUGCAAGUCGAACGGUGAAGCUCCAGCUGGCUGGUGCGGAUGAGGGGCAAACGGGUGUGAAACACGUGAGCAACCUGCCGCUCAUUCUGGUAUAAGCGCUGGAAAGGGCGUCUAAUACUGGAUACGCGAUGGUUAGUCAUGGGGACGUUAUGGAAAUUUUUUCGGUUGGGGAUGGGCUGGCGGCCUACCAGCUUGUUGGGGAGGUAAUGGCUAACCAGGGGGACGACGGCUAGCCGGCCUGAGGGGGCGACCGGCCAAACUGGGACUGAGACACGCCCCAAACUCCUACGGGGGGCAGCAGUGGGGAAUAUUGCACAAUGGGCGAAAGCCUGUUGCAGCGACGCGGCGUGAGGGAUAACGGCCUUCGGGUUGUAACCCUCUUUCAGCAGGGAGGAAGCGAAUGUGACGGUACCUGCAUAAGAAGCACCGGCUAACUACGUG